rnacentral:misc_RNA from 5 species
GUGGGAGGGGGCUUGCCCCCGAUGGCAGUGUCAGUCAGUACAUCGGGUACUGAUAGACCGCUAUCGGGGGCAAGCCCCCUCCCAC